rnacentral:rRNA from 1 species
GAUGAACGCUGGCGGCGUGCCUAAUACAUGCAAGUCGAGCGAACGGACGAGAAGCUUGCUUCUCUGAUGUUAGCGGCGGACGUGUGAGUAACACGUGGAUAACCUACCUAUAAGACUGGGAUAACUUCGGGAAACCGGAGCUAAUACAGGAUAAUAUUUUGAACAGCAUGGUUCAAAAGUGAAAGACGGUCUUGUUGUCACUUAUAGAUGGAUCCGCGCUGCAUUAGCUAGUUGGUAAGGGAACGGCUUACAAAGGGAACGAUGCAUAGCCGACCUGAGAGGUUGAUCGGCCACACUUGAACUGAGCCAGGGUCCAGACUCCUACGAGAGGCAGCAGUAGCGAAUCUUCCGCAAUGGGCGAAAGCCUUACGGAGCAACGCCACGUGAGUGAUGAAGGUCUUCGGAUCGUAAAACUCUGUUAUUAGGGAAGAACAUAUGUGUAAGUAACUGUGCACAUCUUGACGGUACCUAAUCAGAAAGCCACGGCUAACUACGUG